GGAGAGGUGGCCGAGUGGUUGAAGGCGCACGCUUGGAAAGCGUGUAAAGGGGAAACUUUUUCAUGGGUUCGAAUCCCAUUCUCUCCGCCA
rnacentral:tRNA from 1 species